rnacentral:misc_RNA from 1 species
GGCGCGAACCUCGAAAGAGUGUGUGUGUGUGUGUGUGCGUAUGUGUGUGUGCACGCGGUGUGCGUGCGUGCGAAUACUUGUGACUGGCCGUGUCGAUGCGCGGGGAUUUGGCCAGUGUGUCAGUGUGAAAGAAGACAAUUGACUCGCAGCCGUCGCCGUCCGUCGGACGGUGCUCAGCCCAGCGGGGGCCUUCUGACGUCACAUCCUGCCCCGCGGCCUGUACCGAGAGCCCGCGAUCUCAUCUGGACCACGACGAACGAAGCGAAUGAGGAACGAUGAUCUACCGCGACAAAAGGAUCCUCGGGAUCCUUGUCCUGCUCAACGUAGUCGCGAAGAUGCCGGCGAAUCAGACGGAUUCGCCAAAAACAGAUAUAAUCGAAGAAACCGAAGAAUUUACUACGACCAAAAGGAUUCUGCCCGACAGAUGUCUUGUCAAGACAGAACCGGGACCCUGCAAGCACUACGUACACAAAUGGACCUUCAACAAGGCCGAAGGAAAAUGCCGAACUUUUCCUUACGGCGGUUGUUUGGGAAAUGAAAAUCGAUUUAAUUCAGAGGCGGAGUGCCUCCAUUAUUGCGUCGGUGGUGCCGAUCAUACGCUACCGCCUUAUCUUGUAACAAAGGGCAACGUAUUUGUGGCAACGAGCACCACGACAAUGAGCACUCCACCGUCGACCACCAGUAGCACGCCACGACCGACCUUUACACCCCCGAAACCAACGAAACCGCCGGUGCCAAAGCACCUACGAGGAAAGGAAUUGACUUUCAUGGAAUCUGGUCACGAGAAAACGUUCAUGUUCGCACAAAGUAAUACUUUCAUCCAGCUCGACGGCCCUGGCAUCAAAACCUUCCAGUUGAGAUUAUGUCGCGAGAUAUCCUUCAAGUUCCGCACCAAGCUUCCACACGGUUUGCUAGUUUAUCACAGUGUCAAAGAUCGCCCAGAGAGCCUCGACCCUUAUGCCCUUUAUGUGAUAGUAGAGAAGGGUCAGUUAAAAGUUGUUCAUGUAUUCGGCAAACAGUCGACUAGUUUAAUAGUCGGUCAAGGACUUAACAGAGACGAGUGGCACAGCGUUCUCGUGAGGAUCGACGUGCACGGGGCAAAGUUAAUCGCCAGGGUCGACGAUAAACAAGCCGAGACUACUCUAAAAGUUUUAGAGCGCAUCGUUAAUUACGGAGUAUCCGAAGAACUGGCCUCGGUAGUCCUUAUCGGAGGUGAGAGAUUUCUUCCCCACGGAAUUUUUUGUUUCUUUAUCACUUAUUUUCACUUUAUUUUGACAGGACUGAGUUCCGAAGAACGAUUGCAUGGAGUGAAAUACAUAAUAGAAUCCUUUGUCGGCUGUAUCAGGGAUAUGGUUCUGAGUUCCGGCAAAUCCGCCAGCGAUCUACUGCCCAUUCGACCACUAAUCGCGACCAAGCAUGAGAAUGUUAAGGAAGGAUGUAUCGAUAAGUGCAGGACACGAGAGAACUUGUGCUUCGUCCCCGAUCAAUGUGUGAAUCACUAUAAUAGUCUGACGUGUGACUGUUUCGGCACGAAUUAUGAGGGUGAACGUUGCGAUGUGUACACCGCGACCAUACUGACGCUUAGAGGCUCCUCAUACGUGUCCUUUCGCGUGUACGAUUGGAAGGAUCGUGUUCACUCGUCUGUCAACAGGAUCAGCCUCGCUUUUAAGACAAAAUGGGACAAUUCUGUCUUGUUUUAUGCUUCUGGUGAAAUCGACGGCACGCCGCAUUACAUUGCAGCUUCCAUUAUAAACGAAUCGGUUCACGUUGAACUCGAUUUCGGACAUAAUUCGAAGAUCUCCACCACGUUGGGCGAUUACGUCACGUCGGAUCAUUGGAAUAACUUGACCAUAUUCCAUAACGGAUCCUCCGUCUUCGUCAGUUUAGACGACGAGGUCAAGGUACUAGAAAUACCGGGAGAAAAUUGGAAUAUGAUUAUCGAUCCGGAAAUAUACAUCGGUGGUGGUCCGGAGCUCCACAAAAAGAAGGGUCUCCUGUCGCACAAUAAUUUUGCAGGUUCCCUGAAGUAUGUGUUUUUCAACGACAAAUCAAUUAUAUACGAAUUGAAGCGCUCUAACCCUAUGGUGCACUACAUCGGUGUGUUGGAACCGGAAUACUACGAAGCCGAUGUCGAAGUCAUUCCGAUCACGUAUCCUUUCGCGGGAAGUCAUAUCUGGUGGCCGAUCGAGCGAACUAAUUCGCUGAAGUUAAACUUCGAUUUCAAAAGCUCAAAGCCAAUCGCGAUUGUCGCUUCAGGAGAUGUUAAGAGCAGUCGCGGUGUUGGUUACUGGGAGUUACGUCAAGUCAAUGACGAAAUUCGUUUCCAACUGGUACCAGUUUUAACGGAAAACAUUACGGUAUCAACUUCCGUGAAGUUUCCGCCUUACAAUACUUCUUGGCACGCAGUUGAGCUUAAUUAUACAAAAGGUGAACUUAACAUCCUCCUCGAUUACAGAAAUAAACAGAGCAAGCUCUUCGCUAUGGCAUUUGAGUUGGGAGAUAAAGUCAUUAUAGGAAGUGGUAAAAGUAAUGCGGGUCUAGUAGGAUGUAUGCGUGAGAUACGAGUGAAUGGUCAAAGAAUCGAACCUAGACACGUAAUUAAUACCGAAAGAGUAGUCGGAGAAGUCGCUUUAGACAAUUGUCAAUUUGUGGAUCCGUGCAAGAGGCCGAACACUUGUGAACAUGGCGGUAAAUGCUCGGUCAAGGAAGAUAGGAUCACAUGUGAUUGCACAGAUACGGGAUAUAUUGGAAAGAACUGCCAUUUUGCACAAUACAGAAAAACCUGUGAAGAAUUGGCUCUUUUGGGAUACACGCAAGAUGACGUUUAUAAAAUCGACAUCGAUGGAAACGGUAGAUUUCCGCCUGCCUUGGUAAAGUGCGAAUUUCAAUCGAUCGAAGAUUCGACUAAAACGAUUGUCGAACACAAUCUACCCUCCCAAGUGGACGUCAGAUCUAUCACCGAGAGCGACUUCUCCUUCAAUAUCAAGUAUAGGCAGUUCACCGCCGAAAUGCUGCAAGAAUUGAUCUCGCACUCGCUUUAUUGCAGUCAAUAUGUAAAGUACGAUUGUUACAAGGCACCCUUGGACUUGCAUAGCGCUACGUGGUUCUUAGGUUCCAAAGGUACCACUGUCGAUUAUAUCGGCAACGUCAAUCGUGGAUCCUGUCCUUGUGGAAUGAACAGAACAUGCGUGAAUUCCAACUUGAGCUGCAAUUGCGAUGUGUCUACUGGAAACGCCGGAAAAUGGUUGUCAGAUGAGGGAUAUUACGAAACACCUGAUUCCUUAGGCAUCACCGGAAUGGUGUUCUUGCAACAAAGAGAUCUCGAAGAAGAUGCUCGGGGACGUAUCACCUUAGGGCCAUUGGAAUGUGUUGAAACAAAUACACAAAAAUACGUGGUAACGUUCACGACGUCGCAAUCAUACAUCGAAGUGCCUGGUUGGAGAAAGGGUGACAUAGCCUUCAGUUUUCGAACAACAGGCGAGAAGGCUAUUCUUCUCUAUCAACCGCCAAUUCGGAGUAACUAUCCUUCCUUCAUGGUCGCCCUAACAUCGGAAUAUCGGUUGACCUUUAAUUUCACUCUGAAUACCGGUACUAAUCGCGAAUUACAAGUAGAAAGUCGACGAAAACUGAAUAAUGGCGAGUGGCAGAAGAUUUGGAUUGACUACAAUGAUUAUCACGUGAGAUUUAUGAUCAACACUGACUUUCGAAUGGUAGAUUUGUUUCCUGAAGAGGAAUUUGGGCCCUUCGAGGGAUCUAUGUUCAUUGGCGGAGCUACUGCAGAGCAUUUGAAAACUUCUUCUGUUCGACAAGGCCUUAUUGGUUGUUUCCGUGGUCUCGUUGUUAACGGAGAAAUAUUAGACAUUCACAGUUAUAUGUCGGUACAUUUAUCAGAAAUCAUUAAAGACUGUAAGCCUUCGUGUCAACCUAAUAAAUGUCAAAACGGCGCCAAAUGCGUCGAGUUGUGGAGUAAUUUCGAAUGCGUAUGCGAAAAUCGAUGGGCACAUUUAGGCACUUAUUGCGAGACAAAUAUCAACAAUAAAGCUUUAACAUUUACCUCACCAAAAGCGUUCUUAAAAAAAAAUUACUUCGGGUCGGACGACAACGAGGAGAGAUUGCAGUUGAAAAGCAUGCUACUAGAAAAUAUUUUAAUUAAUUUAAGAACUUAUGAUACUCAUUCUCUGAUACUUUAUGCGAAUGAUCAUUUGAACAAUUUUGUACAUCUCUACAUCUCAAACGGUACCAAUAUCGUAUACCUUUUCAACGCGGGCAAUGAGAUCAAGAAUAUCACCGUGGAAAAUCCACAUGUCAACACAGGAAUCUCCGUGCAAAUAGCUAUAAUUCGAGGCGAGAAUUGGACUACGUUGUUCGUGAACGAAUAUAACGUCACAUUGAACGCGACACCGAUACUCCUAGACACAUAUUCAAACAAGCCUUGGACGAAUUCAGAGAAAGAAGUUCUCGCACCGCAACGGCCGCCAGCACCUCCCACUGAUUAUUUCCAAGUAAAUUUAGGAGGAUUCGAUCCUGACAAUCUGCUCAGAGUCGGAAAGGAAGGCGCUUUAAUUCAAGGAUACGUUGGUUGCUUGCGAGGACUCAUGAUCGGCAAAUAUCUCGUCGAUCUACCGAGCUUAGCCAGUGAAGCGAAUCAUGAAGGGAGUAAAGGUGUUCUGCCAAAUUGUCAAAUGAAAUGCGACGCGAUGCCCUGCAAAAAUUUAGGAAUCUGCACAGAGGAUUUCGGCAGGCAGGAAUCUUCUUGUAACUGCGAGCUGACGUCCUAUUUUGGCGAACAUUGUGCCGAUGAAAAGGGCGCCGAUUUCAGCGGGGAAAGUGUACUUCAACGCGAAUUCGAACUCGAGGGCGAGGUGAAUCAGGUGAAAGUACAGCUGGCAUUCUCAACGAACGAACUGCGACAGCGUACCACCGCGUUGCUGCUGGUACAAACCGACAACAAAAGGAGCUACUACUUAUUGGUGGCCUUGACGUCCGAGGGACAGCUAAUCUUCGAAGAGGACAGGGACGGCUCGGCAGCUGGAGUACGCCUAAGCGAUCGGAAUUUCCUGAAUGGUGCACGUCACAGCGUCUACUACGUUCGCGAUAAUAACACGGCCAUUCUCUUAAUUGACCGUGAACCCGUCCAAUUGCUACCAAUUCCGGGAAUACCGAUACCAGACGAGGACGAAACUCCGGGUGCCACGGAAAUACAGCUUGGUGGAUUGAAUACCACCGAUUCGCGAUUUACUGCUUAUAAGGGAUAUACCGGUUGUCUCAGCAACGUCGUGAUAUCUAUCAAUGGAGGCCCUGACAUGAAACCGUUAGAGGAAUAUAUGCUAUUUACGAAACAGGGCAGCGAGACCGUGCGAGCAACGAUACCCGGCGGCGUUAGAAGUGCUCAAUGCGCGGUUUUCCAUGUUCAACCAGGUGGUUUUGAACCGCCAAAGAAUGACAGCGUGGGCCGUGAUAAAGCGUGGGUCGAGGAUCCACCGGAAAGAAUCCUAUAUAAAUCGCAAUAUUCGGGCGCUACUCAGGAAGAGCAAGGCGCGGGAACGUAUAUCUUCAUAGCUCUAUGCUGCGUCUUCGUGGCCGCGGUGAUCGGGUGCAUUUACGAGGUGUGGCGAAGUGCGCGCAAGGAUCGUCGACGACGUCGCGACGCGGCCUCAGGAGCUGUUGCGACCACCGCUUCCGGUUCGCAGAGGUGGCAGCCGCAACAGUACACGGAAUCCCUGGUCACCGCGUCUGGCGUGAAAGCGGUCGGCUUCAAGAUGGACGAUGACAAGAGGCCGAAUGGAACUCACGUAAAAGUACCCAAUUCCAAAGAAUACAAACCACUGCCGAAUUCAGAACCCAAGGAGUUAAUGAACGAUAAAAAAGUUCACAUUAAAGCAGACGAAGAACCAGAGAAAAAGGAGCUCCUAGGGGUAAAUACAGGCAUCGUCAUUAAACCUGUGAAACCGAACCCAUUCUCAAUGGAAGAUCUAACAGAAGAACCCGAACUAGAAGAACGCGAGGAAGAAGAGGAAGAAGAAGAGGAAGAGGACACCCAGGAUCCGGAGGUAGACGAAAACAAAGAUCAACUAACACAGGAAUAUCAGCAAGAGGAGCAAAAGGACACGAAUAACGAUCGAGAUGGCGAGCUUCUAGUUAUGCCGCACAGGGAUUGGUCUAAUGUUGAGGAGAGCGUUAUACCGUUAGACUCCAUUUUAAAACCCGAUGAAACGAAAACAUCGUGCGAAUUAUAGAGGCGUCUGUGGAUGGAGACAUUGGAAGACAAUCGAAGAUGCAAGGAAACUACUUGGUACCAGGCAAGCCGAUAACUUUCAAUACGUCUCCUAUCUUCUUGCCGGACGGCCAACGAACUUUCGGCAAUCCAUUGAGCUA